rnacentral:rRNA from 1 species
UACGAAGGGUGCAAGCGUUACUCGGGAUUACUGGGCGUAAAGCGUGCGUAGGUGGUUUGUUAAGUCUGUUGUGAAAGCCCCGGGCUCAACCUGGGAAUGGCAAUGGAUACUGGCAAGCUAGAGUGCGGUAGAGGGUAGUGGAAUUCCCGGUGUAGCGAUGAAAUGCGUAGAGAUCGGGAGGAACACCAGUGGCGAAGGCGGGCUACCUGGACCAGCACUGACACUGAGGCACGAAGCGUGGGGAGCAAACAGG